AUUGAACGCUGGCGGCAGGCCUAACACAUGCAAGUCGAACGAGUGGCGGACGGGUGAGUAAUGUCUGGGAAACUGCCUGAUGGAUGGGGAUAACUACUGGAAACGGUAGCUAAUACCGCAUACCAUCUGAUGUGCCCAGAUGGGAUUAGCUUGUUGGUGGGGUCACGGCUCACAAAGGCGACGAUCCCUAGCUGGUCUGAGAGGAUGACGAGGCAAACAGGAAUGGAAACCAGGUCCAGACUCUUACGGGAGGUAGCAGGGGGGAAUAUAGCACAAUGGGCGGAAGCAUGAUGCAGCCAUGCAGCGUGUAUGAAGAAGGCCUUCGGGUUGUAAAGAACUUUCAGCGGGGAGGCGUUACCCGCAGAAGAAGCACCGGCUAACUCCGUGCCAGCAGCCGCGGUAAUAC
rnacentral:rRNA from 1 species